GGUUGUUGAUUGUUUGAAUCGUUGGUCUGAACGAAAAUGCAAAUUCAUUCUUUGCCACUAGAUGCUGCUUUUGGAGCGGUAAAAAUAGCUGUGUCCCCGGUAAUGGCUGUACACAAAGCAGCACUGCACUCAUGCUUAUGAAAUGGAAAUGAAAUCGACCAUAUCGGACCAAUCACCACAGAUUAGCGUCAAGCAAAGGAGGGGUUUGGAAGAAUGAAUCAUUGUGCGAAUCGUUUGGGAGUCGUUGAGCAAGACACUUUAUAAAACCUCCAGAGGAUGAGACCCAGCGGCCUACACUAACAUGACACAUUUUGAAAUUUUCUAACCGUAAUGGUCAUCUGACAGACGGACGGAUAGGUGCUAAGCCAAAGUUGUGUUUCAGGGCCGUUCGUGAAGACAGAUAUGCUGUAACAACCCCUGGACUGAAGUCACUUCCAGUUCCACCUGCCACAUCAGACUCUGCUGUACAGG